rnacentral:misc_RNA from 1 species
GAUGAAGAACGCAGCGAAAUGCGAUAAGUAAUGUGAAUUGCAGAAUUCAGUGAAUCAUCGAAUCUUUGAACGCACAUUGCGCCCCCUGGUAUUCCGGGGGGCAUGCCUGUUCGAGCGUCAUUUCACCACUCAAGCCUCGCUUGGUAUUGGGCAACGCGGUCCGCCGCGUGCCUCAAAUCGACCGGCUGGGUCUUCUGUCCCCUAAGCGUUGUGGAAACUUUCGCUAAAGGGUGUUCGGGAGGCUACGCCGUAAAACAACCCCAUUUCUAAGGUUGACCUCGGAUCAGGUAGGGAUACCCGCUGAACUUAAGCAUAUCAAUAACGGAGGA